rnacentral:lncRNA from 1 species
CUUUGAGUAAGUGAAAUGAAGCGUGAAUAACUGCCUAAUUAGUGGACAUGAAACCUGGACAGUCUCCAAAGUCAUCAGAGAUGACCACGCUUGCCAGGCAACUUACUAGACUAAGGAUACGACAGGGAAAAACAGUCCAUGAGGACGCUUUGAUUUUCCUUUACAACGCGUUACUAAAUGACAUGAGUAGCCUUUCCAUCCUGG